GCAGCCGCACCGCACACAGAAACCUAGGCCGGACACUGAGUCCUGUCAUGAUACGGGAAACAGAAGAGCUAAAGGCCACCAUUUUGACAGGAUAAUUAGUGGAAUAGCACACCGACUUUACUUCUAAGCUAAAAACUUGUAAAACUUUUCACUUUUCGACUGAGUUGUUUGGAUAAUGACUUUUUAUAAAACUCGAAACAGAAUCUCACGUAUCAUAUAGAACGCUCUUUCUUUUCCCUGUGCUGCAGGUUGCUAAGAAAAAUAUUUCAGUAUCUGUGAGCAGAAUAAACAGGUCGGACAUUUUUAUAGUUCAGUAAAGCGUACAUGAAGUGGAUUUGAGAACAACUAAAACUAAGUAAAGCUGGUGGAGUCCUUCUCGGACAUGUGGCCAUUAGCCUUGGUUACCAUAGCAAUCACGUUGCUUCCUCAGGACCUCGUGUUAUCACAGGAAUUCACCAAUAGCGUAAAUAAUAUUUGUCCGGAAAUCAGGCCAGGCCAGGAUGACCUUCCAGGUAUU